GGUCCGAUGGUGUAGUUGGUUAUCACUUCUGUCUAACACGAGUUCCUCUCACGGUCGCGUGCCACACAGGCGGUCCUCAGUUCGAACCUGGGUCGGAUCA